CUCACUCAUUGUUCCUCGUUAUGUUUAUCGUUCUUGCCAUAUUAUCAUUAUUCGCUGUGUUCAACGUUCUUGAGCAUUAUCUUAUUGUUCAUCUUGUUCUUCAUUUUCGUUAUCUUCUCCAAGCUCUUCGUUGCCCUAAUUUGUGACUGGUUCUGAGUCUGUUCAAAUAUCAAGUUCUUCUUCUCAUUCUAUGAGGAGAAGGAUGCAAUGUUAUUGUGGGUUAGAAUCACCACUUGCAACUGCGUGUACAUAUGAGAAUCCAAGUCGGAGGUUCUAUGGUUGUGAAUUAUUAAAGUUACAAGGAAGGAAAGGGUGUUAUUUUUUUAUUGGUAUGACGAGAAGAUACCAGAACAUUCACAGGAAGUGAUUAACUGGCUUUUGAAGAAGCUUGAUGAGUUGAAAAAGAAAUAUGGUUUAACAAAAAAGUUUGAUGAUGACCUGGAGAAGAAGAUCAAAUUUUUGAUUAUGUUGUUAAUUCUGUCUUGGUUUUUGAUCAUCAUGUUGAUCACAAAAGCCUUUGCAUGAGUGUAGUUGUAAAAGGUUGAGGUUAAUGUUGUGAGGUUAAUGUUGUGAGGUUAAUAUAGUUAGGUUUAGUUGUCAAUGGUUUCACCUUUGUUUGAUCAUCAUAUAUUUUUUAAUUCAUUGUAACUUUUUAGUAUAUGUUUCAACACAAUAAUUUCCAUA